UUUUGCCAAAAAUCGUGCCAGCAGUUGCGGUUAAACAAAAGUUAAAUUAAAUUAUUUCAGUAUAUAAUAAAUAAUGAAUAAUUAAAUUAAAUAUUAAAUUAUUAAGUGAAAUUUUAAUUUAAUUAAAAAUUAUAAUAAAAUUAUGAUUUAAUAAAUUUUAUUGUAAACUAGGAUUAGAUACCCUAUUAUUAAAAAUUUAAUUAAGAAUACUAAAAUAGUAGAUAAAAUAUUAUUGAAACUUAAAUAAUAUGGCGGUAUUUUAGUUCAUUUAGAGGAAUCUGUCUAAUAAUUGAUAAUCCACGAAUAAAUUUACUUAAUUUAUAAUUUUGUAUAUCAUUGUUAAAAAAAUAUUUUUUAAUAAAAAUAAUAUUUUAAAAUUUAAAAUAAAAUUUAAUUCAGAUCAAGAUGCAGAUUAUAAUUAAGUUUAAGAUGGGUUACAAUAAAUAUAUUUAAGUGGAAAGAAUUUUGUAAAAUUUAAUUGAAAAUGGAUUUAAAUGUAAUUUUAAUUAGUUUAUUAAAAGUAUAAAA
rnacentral:rRNA from 1 species